rnacentral:lncRNA from 1 species
ACAUGGGCAAAGCAAAGGCACCUGCUUCCUCUGAGCCUAAGAGAACCUCUGCACGGCUGGCAUCAAAACCGAAACCUGCAGCAGUGGAGGCUAAGAAAAAGGCUGUUGCAAAGAGGGCACCCAAAACAAAGAAAGCCAAACCCGCUGAGAAUGGGAGCACCAAGGCUGAGGAGCCCAAGGCUGAAGCCACUGAAGCCAAAUGAAUAGUGGUUGAUGUGCUCACUCUGU